UACGUAGGGGGCUAGCGUUGUCCGGAAUCAUUGGGCGUAAAGCGCGCGUAGGCGGCCCGGUAAGUCCGCUCUGAAAGUCAAAGGCUCAACCUUUGAAAGCGGGUGGAUACUGCCAGGCUAGAGUCCGGAAGAGGCGAGUGGAAUUCCUGGUGUAGCGGUGGAGUGCGCAGAUAUCAGGAGGAACACCAACGGCGAAGGCAGCUCGCUGGGACGGUACUGACACUGAGGCGCGAAAGCGUGGGGAGCGAACAGG
rnacentral:rRNA from 1 species